ACGAACGCUGGCGGCGUGCUUAACACAUGCAAGUCGAACGGAAAGGCCCUGCUUUUGUGGGGUGCUCGAGUGGCGAACGGGUGAGUAACACGUGAGUAACCUGCCCUUGACUUUGGGAUAACUUCAGGAAACUGGGGCUAAUACCGGAUAGGAGCUCCUGCUGCAUGGUGGGGGUUGGAAAGUUUCGGCGGUUGGGGAUGGACUCGCGGCUUAUCAGCUUGUUGGUGGGGUAGUGGCUUACCAAGGCUUUGACGGGUAGCCGGCCUGAGAGGGUGACCGGCCACAUUGGGACUGAGAUACGGCCCAGACUCCUACGGGAGGCAGCAGUGGGGAAUAUUGCACAAUGGGCGGAAGCCUGAUGCAGCAACGCCGCGUGCGGGAUGACGGCCUUCGGGUUGUAAACCGCUUUCGCCUGUGACGAAGCGUGAGUGACGGUAAUGGGUAAAGAAGCACCGGAUAACUACGUG
rnacentral:rRNA from 1 species